AUGGACAUGAGGGCCCCCACUCAGCUUCUGGGGAUCCUGCUGCUCUGGUUUCCAGGUGCCAAAUGUGACAUUCAGAUGACCCAGUCACCAACCUCCCUCUCAGCAUCUCUAGGAGACAGAGUCACCAUUACUUGCCAGGAAAGUCAGGGCUUUAGCAAUAAUUUACACUGGUAUCAGCAGAAACCAGGGGAUCCUCCUAAGCUCCUGAUCUAUCGGGCACCUAACUUGCAAUCUGGGGUCCUAUCGAGGUUCAGUGGUAUUGCAGUGUUACAAGUUCAUUGCAUAAUACUACCCAUGGAAGGAAAUGCACAUUUUGCCUGGUCUGACCUAGCUGCUGCUCCUGGUGCCUACAACUGCUAA